rnacentral:rRNA from 1 species
GAUGAACGCUGGCGGCGUGCCUAAUACAUGCAAGUCGAGCGAACAGACGAGGAGCUUGCCCCUUUGACGUUAGCGGCGGACGGGUGAGUAACACGUGGAUAACCUACCUAUAAGACUGGGAUAACUUCGGGAAACCGGAGCUAAUACCGGAUAACAUGUUGAACCGCAUGGUUCAACAGUGAAAGACGGUCUUGCUGUCACUUAUAGAUGGAUCCGCGCCGCAUUAGCUAGUUGGUAAGGUAACGGCUUACCAAGGCAACGAUGCGUAGCCGACCUGAGAGGGUGAUCGGCCACACUGGAACUGAGACACGGUCCAGACUCCUACGGGAGGCAGCAGUAGGGAAUCUUCCGCAAUGGGCGAAAGCCUGACGGAGCAACGCCGCGUGAGUGAAGAAGGUCUUCGGAUCGUAAAACUCUGUUAUUAGGGAAGAACAAAUGUGUAAGUAACUAUGCACGUCUUGACGGUACCUAAUCAGAAAGCCACGGCUAACUACGU